UACGUAGGGUGCAAGCGUUGUCCGGAAUUAUUGGGCGUAAAGAGCUCGUAGGCGGUCUGUCGCGUCGGCUGUGAAAACCCGGGGCUCAACCCCGGGCCUGCAGUCGAUACGGGCAGACUAGAGUGCGGUAGGGGAGACUGGAAUUCCUGGUGUAGCGGUGAAAUGCGCAGAUAUCAGGAGGAACACCGGUGGCGAAGGCGGUUCUCUGGGCCUUACCUGACGCUGAGGAGCGAAAGCAUGGGGAGCAAACAGG
rnacentral:rRNA from 1 species